rnacentral:rRNA from 1 species
GACGAACGCUGGCGGCGUGCUUAACACAUGCAAGUCGAACGGAAAGGCCCUGCUUUUGUGGGGUGCUCGAGUGGCGAACGGGUCAGUAACACGUGAGUAACCUGCCCUUGACUUUGGGAUAACUUCAGGAAACUGGGGCUAAUACCGGAUAGGAGCUCCUGCUGCAUGGUGGGGGUUGGAAAGUUUCGGCGGUUGGGGAUGGACUCGCGGCUUAUCAGCUUGUUGGUGGGGUAGUGGCUUACCAAGGCUUUGACGGGUAGCCGGCCUGAGAGGGUGACCGGCCACAUUGGGACUGAGAUACGGCCCAGACUCCUACGGGAGGCAGCAGUGGGGAAUAUUGCACAAUGGGCGGAAGCCUGAUGCAGCAACGCCGCGUGCGGGAUGACGGCCUUCGGGUUGUAAACCGCUUCCGCCUGUGACGAAGCGUGAGUGACGGUAAUGGGUAAAGAAGCACCGGCUAACUACGUG